AACGAACGCUGGCGGCAGGCCUAACACAUGCAAGUCGAACGAAGCCUUCGGGCUUAGUGGCGGACGGGUGAGUAACACGUGGGAACGUACCUUUUGGUUCGGAAUAACGCAGAGAAAUUUGCGCUAAUACCGGAUGAGCCCUUCGGGGGAAAGAUUUAUCGCCGAAAGAUCGGCCCGCGUUGGAUUAGGUAGUUGGUGUGGUAAAGGCGCACCAAGCCUACGAUCCAUAGCUGGUCUGGGAGGAUGAUCAGCCACACUGGGACUGAGACACGGCCCAGACUCCUACGGGAGGCAGCAGUGGGGAAUCUUGCGCAAUGGGCGAAAGCCUGACGCAGCCAUGCCGCGUGAAUGAUGAAGGUCUUAGGAUUGUAAAAUUCUUUUACCAGGGACGAUAAUGACGGUACCUGGAGAAAAAGCCCCGGCUAACUUCGUGCCAGCCGCCGCGGUAAAAC
rnacentral:rRNA from 1 species